CUGAAAGUUCGCUGGUUCGAAUCCCUGGACAGACUAGGUGAACAAUCUGCCGGAGUGCCCCUGAGUAAGGCACUUUAAUUGCUCCUGUAAAUCGCUCUGGAUAACAGCGCCUGCUAAAUUACAAAAAAAUGAACGUAAAUGGUUAAUAUUUUUAGUCUGUGUAUUCUUUUAUACUCCAUUCUUUCACCUCCUGCUCUCCUAGAUCAAUCGUAUGGUAAAAACACCCAGCUGAAGGCUCUACUGAAUCUGAGAGAUGGCAGAAAUAACGCAAUUACAUUUCUCUUUGACAUCUCAGAGAAGAUGGGGGACAUCAAAUCAUUUAUAAAUGUAGCAUACACCGACAGCUAUUACAAAGGCAAACAGCCCUUCAUAUUGCCAUUGAGAGAAGGAGUGCCUAUUCUGUUCAGCUAUUGAUCAAGGAAGGAGCAGAAGUCCAUGCCGAAGCCUGUGGGAAAUUUUUCCAGCCUUAUGAUCUACUCAGCUUCUACUGUAGUUUGGUGAGCUGAUUCUGCCCCUGGCUGUUUGCACCAACCAGUCUGAGGUAGAUGACUUCCUGCUGGAGAACUCCUACCAUUGGGUGGAUGUGAGAGAGAGGGACUCCCUGGGUAACAUGGUGCUGCAUGCCCUGGUGGUGGUGUCAACUGAUAACACACCAGAGAACACGGACUUCAUCACCUCCAUGUACGACUACAUCACCUCACCACUGCUGCUCGCCUGCACCCCAGUUGGAGGCUGGAGGACUUGGACAACAACCACGGCCUGACGCCUAUAAAACUGUCUGCCAAGUUUGGCAAGAUCAGGGUAAGGAACGUGUCUGAUAUGGAGUAAUGUUGUAUAUUUGUUCGGCCCACUACUCUAUGUAGACCUACUGGAGAACAGAUCAACAGUUUGUUGUUUACAAAUGAAGCCAUCUGAUCUUUAAUGUAAUAUUUUGUUCAUGUUAGACAUCAGAAGAAAAUACAUUGUUCCUCCAUAUGUGUUUAUGAUAAUGUGCUACAUCCUUCCAUUACGUGUUGGCCAAUUGUUGUAUUCUUCCUCUAGUUGUUUGAGAACAUGAUGCAUCAUGAGUUUCAUGAGAGGGAGACCAGACACGUGUCCCGUAAAUUCACUGAGUGGGUGUACAGACCUGUCCCUUCCUCCCUGGAUGAUUUGGCCUCACUGUGACUCCUAGGAGAAGAAUUCUGCCCUGGAGAUUGUCUACAGCGUUAAUAUAAUAAGGAUCAAAUCAUUAGCCCCAUUUGGUGCUACAAUGCAUCCGUUGUCCUGAUCUUGUUCACAUGUAUCUACACUGUGUCUGCAUUUUGACCAGAUUUCCCGAUCCCUCCCUGUAUGCAAAUUAUUUCAGAAAUAUUCUUUCAAAAUAAUAUGUAUUUAUUUAAAGACAUAUUGAUGGCCUGAGAAAAUGGUGCCUCCUGUCAAUGAUUUAAGAGGGCUGGAUAAUGAUUAUUUAAAUGGUUUCACUGUUCAGCUCCGUCUACACACAAUGUGCCUGACUACAUUCGGAGGUGGUCAGGAAGAUCAGAUCACAAUGCAUCUUUUAAUCGUCUAAACCUGUCUAGAAAAGUGGGUACAAUCAGAAUGUGUACAAGAUUAAGGACAUGUUAGCACCAGGUUUAAAUGGGGCUCUAAAUGCCAUCUCCUGUCGUUGUGCCCUUGAGAAAGGCACUCAACCCUUAUCUGCUCCAGGGGUGCUGCGCGGUGGUUGACCCUGUGCUCCAACCUCUCUGUGGGUGUGUCUCGGGGGUACGUGUACUGUAAGAAAAUGCAUUUCAAGAGAAAGAGAGACCAAAAGUAAGACCUACUUGCAUCAAAGUGUGAUUCUACCCACUGGACACAGAUGUC